UACGAAGGGGGCUAGCGUUGCUCGGAAUCACUGGGCGUAAAGCGCACGUAGGCGGGUUGUUAAGUCGGGGGUGAAAUCCUGGAGCUCAACUCCAGAACUGCCUUCGAUACUGGCGACCUUGAGUCCGGGAGAGGUGAGUGGAACUCCGAGUGUAGAGGUGAAAUUCGUAGAUAUUGGGAGGAACACCAGUGGCGAAAGCGGCCGUCUGGAACAUUCCUGACACUGAGGUUCGAAAGCUCGGGGAGCAAACAGG
rnacentral:rRNA from 1 species